rnacentral:rRNA from 1 species
UGGGGAAUAUUGCACAAUGGGCGCAAGCCUGAUGCAGCCAUGCCGCGUGUAUGAAGAAGGCCUUCGGGUUGUAAAGUACUUUCAGUCGGGAGGAAGGUGGUAAGGUUAAUAACCUUAUCAAUUGACGUUACCGACAGAAGAAGCACCGGCUAACUCCGUGCCAGCAGCCGCGGUAAUACGGAGGGUGCAAGCGUUAAUCGGAAUUACUGGGCGUAAAGCGCACGCAGGCGGUUGAUUGAGUCAGAUGUGAAAUCCCCGGGCUUAACCCGGGAAUUGCAUCUGAUACUGGUCAGCUAGAGUCUUGUAGAGGGGGGUAGAAUUCCAUGUGUAGCGGUGAAAUGCGUAGAGAUGUGGAGGAAUACCGGUGGCGAAGGCGGCCCCCUGGACGAAGACUGACGCUCAGGUGCGAAAGCGUGAGGAGCAAACAGG